UGGGGAAUUGUUCGCAAUGGGCGCAAGCCUGACGACGCAACGCCGCGUGGAGGAUGAAGAUUUUCGGAUCGUAAACUCCUGUCGAAUGGGACGAACAGAUAGCGGGUUAACAGCCCGCCAUCCUGACGGUACCGUUAAAGGAAACCCCGGCUAACUCCGUGCCAGCAGCCGCGGUAAUACGGAGGGUGCAAGCGUUAUCCGGAUUCACUGGGUUUAAAGGGUGCGUAGGAGGGCAGGUAAGUCAGUGGUGAAAUCCCCAAGCUUAACUUGGGAACUGCCGUUGAUACUAUCUGUCUUGAAUACCGUGGAGGUGAGCGGAAUAUGUCAUGUAGCGGUGAAAUGCUUAGAUAUGACAUAGAACACCAAUUGCGAAGGCAGCUCGCUACACGAAUAUUGACUCUGAGGCACGAAAGCGUGGGGAUCAAA
rnacentral:rRNA from 1 species